rnacentral:rRNA from 1 species
GACAGAGGGGGCAAGCGUUGCUCGGAAUUACUGGGCGUAAAGGGCGCGUAGGCGGGAUGGCAAGUCGGUCGUGAAAUCCUUCGGCUCAACCGAAGAACGUCGAUCGAUACUGCUGUUCUUGAGGGUUGCAGAGGAGACUGGAAUUCCCGGUGUAGCGGUGAAAUGCGUAGAUAUCAGGAGGAAUACCGGUGGUGUAGACGGCUCUCUGGACCGCAACUGACGCUGAAACACGAAAGCGUGGGUAGCAAACAGG